rnacentral:ncRNA from 1 species
GUAAUUUGCUAGGGGUGCCUUGAAAGUGGAGAAGGCUGAGAGGAACUUAAGAUAGUUCUAACUCUUAUAACCUGAUUUGGUUAAUACCAACGUAGGGAAGCAAUAUAUGUGUUAU